rnacentral:rRNA from 1 species
GACGAACGCUGGCGGCGUGCUUAACACAUGCAAGUCGAACGGAAAGGCCUGCUUUCCCUUGUGGAUUGCGGGUACUCGAGUGGCGAACGGGUGAGUAACACGUGAGUGAUCUGCCCCCAACUUGGGUAUAAGCCUGGGAAACUGGGUCUAAUUCCCGAUAGGACUGCAGGGUGGUGCCUGUGGUGGAAAACGAUUUUCUAGUGGUUGGGGAUGAGCUCGCGGCCUAUCAGCUUGUUGGUGGGGUAAUGGCCUACCAAGGCGGCGACGGGUAGCCGGCCUGAGGGGGUGGACGGCCACAUUGGGAAUGAGAUACGGCCCAGACUGAGACGGGAGGCAGCAGUGGGGAAUAUUGCACAAUGGGCGGAAGCAUGAUGCAGCGACGAGGCGUGGGGGAUGACGGCCUUCGGGUUGUAAACGCCUUCGAACGAGAGGAAGCCACCUGGUUGGAAGGGUGGUGACGGUAGUGGUAGAAGAAGCACCGGCUAACUACGUG